CCUACGGGAGGCAGCAGUGGGGAAUAUUGCACAAUGGGGGAAACCCUGAUGCAGCGACGCCGCGUGCGUGAAGAAGUAUCUCGGUAUGUAAAGCUCCAUCAGUAGGGAAGAAAAUGACGGUACCUGACUAAGUAGCCCCGGCUAACUACGUGCCAGCAGCCGCGGCAAUACGGAGGGGGCAAGCGUUAUCCGGAUUUACUGGGUGUAAAGGGAGCGUAGACGGCAGCGCAAGUCUGAAGUGAAAUCCCAUGGCUUAACCACGGAACUGCUUUGGAAACUGUGCAGCUGGAGUGCAGGGGAGGUAAGCGGAAUGCGUAGUGUAGCGGUGAAAUGCAUAGAUAUUAGGCAGAACACCAGUGGCGAAGGCAGCUUACUGGACUGUAACUGACGUUGAGGCUCGAAAGCGUGGGGAGCGAACAGGAUUAGAUACCCUUGUAGUC
rnacentral:rRNA from 1 species